rnacentral:piRNA from 1 species
UAACCUGACUUAUCGCUUCGUUGCCAUUUU